rnacentral:rRNA from 2 species
ACUGCGAAGGGGGGACGGAGAAGGCUAUGUUGGCCGGGCGACGGUUGUCCCGGUUUAAGCGUGUAGGCUGGUUUUCCAGGCAAAUCCGGAAAACCAAGGCUGAGGCGUGAUGACGAGGCACUACGGUGCUGAAGCGACAAAUGCCCUGCUUCCAGGAAAAGCCUCUAAGCAUCAGGUAACAUCAAAUCGUACCCCAAACCGACACAGGUGGUCAGGUAGAGAAUACCAAGGCGCUUGAGAGAACUCGGGUGAAGGAACUAGGCAAAAUGGUGCCGUAACUUCGGGAGAAGGCACGCUGAUAUGUAGGUGAAGCGACUUGCUCGUGGAGCUGAAAUCAGUCGAAGAUACCAGCUGGCUGCAACUGUUUAUUAAAAACACAGCACUGUGCAAACACGAAAGUGGACGUAUACGGUGUGACGCCUGCCCGGUGCCGGAAGGUUAAUUGAUGGGGUUAGCGGUAACGCGAAGCUCUUGAUCGAAGCCCCGGUAAACGGCGGCCGUAACUAUAACGGUCCUAAGGUAGCGAAAUUCCUUGUCGGGUAAGUUCCGACCUGCACGAAUGGCGUAAUGAUGGCCAGGCUGUCUCCACCCGAGACUCAGUGAAAUUGAACUCGCUGUGAAGAUGCAGUGUACCCGCGGCAAGACGGAAAGACCCCGUGAACCUUUACUAUAGCUUGACACUGAACAUUGAGCCUUGAUGUGUAGGAUAGGUGGGAGGCUUUGAAGUGUGGACGCCAGUCUGCAUGGAGCCGACCUUGAAAUACCACCCUUUAAUGUUUGAUGUUCUAACGUUGGCCCGUAAUCGGGGUUGCGGACAGUGUCUGGUGGGUAGUUUGACUGGGGCGGUCUCCUCCUAAAGAGUAACGGAGGAGCACGAAGGUUGGCUAAUCCUGGUCGGACAUCAGGAGGUUAGUGCAAUGGCAUAAGCCAGCUUGACUGCGAGCGUGACGGCGCGAGCAGGUGCGAAAGCAGGUCAUAGUGAUCCGGUGGUUCUGAAUGGAAGGGCCAUCGCUCAACGGAUAAAAGGUACUCCGGGGAUAACAGGCUGAUACCGCCCAAGAGUUCAUAUCGACGGCGGUGUUUGGCACCUCGAUGUCGGCUCAUCACAUCCUGGGGCUGAAGUAGGUCCCAAGGGUAUGGCUGUUCGCCAUUUAAAGUGGUACGCGAGCUGGGUUUAGAACGUCGUGAGACAGUUCGGUCCCUAUCUGCCGUGGGCGCUGGAGAACUGAGGGGGGCUGCUCCUAGUACGAGAGGACCGGAGUGGACGCAUCACUGGUGUUCGGGUUGUCAUGCCAAUGGCACUGCCCGGUAGCUAAAUGCGGAAGAGAUAAGUGCUGAAAGCAUCUAAGCACGAAACUUGCCCCGAGAUGAGUUCUCCCUGAGACUUAGAGUCUCCUGAAGGAACGUUGAAGACGACGACGUUGAUAGGCCGGGUGUGUAAGCGCAGCGAUGCGUUGAGCUAACCGGUACUAAUGAACCGUGAGGCUUAACCUU